rnacentral:tRNA from 1 species
UGGGGUGUAGCCAAGUGGUAAGGCAUCGGACUCUGAAUCCGAGAUGCGCUGGUCCGAUCCCAGCCACCCCAGCCA